AGAGUUUGAUCAUGGCUCAGGACGAACGCUGGCGGCACGCUUAACACAUGCAAGUCGAACGAGAGAAGAGGAGCUUGCUUUUCUGAUCUAGUGGCGGACGGGUGAGUAACACGUGAGCAAUCUGCCUUUCAGAGGGGGAUACCGAUUGGAAACAAUCGUUAAUACCGCAUAACAUAAUUGAACCGCAUGAUUUGAUUAUCAAAGAUUUAUCGCUGAAAGAUGAGCUCGCGUCUGAUUAGCUAGUUGGUAAGGUAACGGCUUACCAAGGCGACGAUCAGUAGCCGGACUGAGAGGUUGAUCGGCCACAUUGGGACUGAGACACGGCCCAGACUCCUACGGGAGGCAGCAGUGGGGAAUAUUGCACAAUGGAGGAAACUCUGAUGCAGCGAUGCCGCGUGAGGGAAGAAGGUUUUAGGAUUGUAAACCUCUGUCUUCAGGGACGAAAAAAGACGGUACCUGAGGAGGAAGCUCCGGCUAACUACGUGCCAGCAGCCGCGGUAAUACGUAGGGAGCGAGCGUUGUCCGGAAUUACUGGGUGUAAAGGGAGCGUAGGCGGGAUCGCAAGUCAGAUGUGAAAACUAUGGGCUUAACCCAUAAACUGCAUUUGAAACUGUGGUUCUUGAGUGAAGUAGAGGUAAGCGGAAUUCCUAGUGUAGCGGUGAAAUGCGUAGAUAUUAGGAGGAACAUCAGUGGCGAAGGCGGCUUACUGGGCUUUAACUGACGCUGAGGCUCGAAAGCGUGGGGAGCAAACAGGAUUAGAUACCCUGGUAGUCCACGCCGUAAACGAUGAUUACUAGGUGUGGGGGGACUGACCCCUUCCGUGCCGCAGCAAACGCAAUAAGUAAUCCACCUGGGGAGUACGACCGCAAGGUUGAAACUCAAAGGAAUUGACGGGGGCCCGCACAAGCAGUGGAGUAUGUGGAUUAAUUCGAAGCAACGCGAAGAACCUUACCAGGUCUUGACAUCGUAUGCAUAGCUCAGAGAUGAGUGAAAUCUCUUCGGAGACAUAUAGACAGGUGGUGCAUGGUUGUCGUCAGCUCGUGUCGUGAGAUGUUGGGUUAAGUCCCGCAACGAGCGCAACCCUUACUGUUAGUUGCUACGCAAGAGCACUCUAGCAGGACUGCCGUUGACAAAACGGAGGAAGGUGGGGAUGACGUCAAAUCAUCAUGCCCCUUAUGACCUGGGCCUCACACGUACUACAAUGGCUGUCAACAGAGGGAAGCAAAGCCGCGAGGUGGAGCGAACCCCUAAAAGCAGUCUUAGUUCGGAUUGUAGGCUGCAACCCGCCUACAUGAAGUCGGAAUUGCUAGUAAUCGCAGAUCAGCAUGCUGCGGUGAAUACGUUCCCGGGCCUUGUACACACCGCCCGUCACGCCAUGGGAGUCGGUAACACCCGAAGCCUGUAGUCUAACCGCAAGGAGGACGCAGUCGAAGGUGGGAUUGAUGACUGGGGUGAAGUCGUAACAAGGUA
rnacentral:rRNA from 1 species